GCCAGAGUGGUGUAAUGGUUUACACAUUGAACUAUGACUCUGGAGACCUGGGUUCGAAUCCCUGCUCAGCCA